GCAUGAAGUCGGAAUCGCUAGUAAUCGCGGGUCAGCAUACCGCGGUGAAUACGUUCCCGGGCCUUGUACACACCGCCCGUCACACCACGAAAGUUGGUAACACCCGAAGCCGGUGGCCUACCCUUAGGGGAGGGAGCUGUCGAAGGUGGGACUGAUGAUUGGGGUGAAGUCGUAACAAGGUAUC
rnacentral:rRNA from 1 species